rnacentral:lncRNA from 10 species
CCCGAACCCCGGGUCCUGGGUGUCCUGCGAACAGGUGCUGCUGGCGCUGCUGCUGCUGCUGGCGCUGCUGCUGCCGCUGCUCAGCGGGGGCCUGCACCUGCUGCUCAAGUGAGGCCCCGGCGGCUCAGGGCGGGGCUGGCCCCACCCCCAUGACCACUGCCCUGGAGGUGGCGGCCUGCUGCUGUUAUCUUUUUAACUGUUUUCUCAUGAUGCCUUUUUAUAUUUAAACCCCGAGAUAGUGCUGGAACACUGCUGAGGUUUUAUACUCAGGUUUUUUGUUUUUUUUUUAUUCCAGUUUUCGUUUUUUCUAAAAGAUGAAUUCCUAUGGCUCUGCAAUUGUCACCGGUUAACUGUGGCCUGUGCCCAGGAAGAGCCAUUCACUCCUGCCCCUGCCCACACGGCAGGUAGCAGGGGGAGUGCUGGUCACACCCCUGUGUGAUAUGUGAUGCCCUCGGCAAAGAAUCUACUGGAAUAGAUUCCGAGGAGCAGGAGUGCUCAAUAAAAUGUUGGUUUCCAGC